GCCUCGGCAAUCAGUCACGUGGUAGAGCAGCUAUCCUCCGCUGGUGGGGACGGUUAAUGCCGUAAGAGCCAAGAUAGCUAGAACUCUGGCAUGGUCCAACACAUCAGCUUUCUGGGUUUCACUUUAGAAGGCCUCUCGAGAGCAUCAGCCUGGUUAGAACAGCUGCUACCCUGACCUGGCAGGGACAACUGAGUGUGCUCGGACCGUCCACAGUCACCCAGUCCUGACCGGACCUGGAGGCCUCAGCACAGUUUCCUCUUUCAGAAAUGGGGGACCCAAGUCCUUCCCCCUUCUCGCAUACUUUCCAUACUCAAAAGGGACUCCGGGCAAGAGCACAAAGCCAGAAGAUACAGCUCAAAGAGAUCCAAACUCCACCCUAAUUGCACGGUCCUGGCUCAAGCCAGCUUCUCCGUUUCUGAGACUGUUACACUGGGGUGACAGAAUAUGCUCCUUCCAUCAUGGGAGAGGCUGGAGACCCAGAUUCAUCCCGCUCCGAGUUUGUCACCUUCAUCCCAUGGCCAAGACAGCUCCGAUGGCUGACGCAAGCCAACCAAAAGGGAAUGCUUGGCCAGGAAGAGACUGUGGAUGGGCUAAGAGGGUCCUUUCAUCCACAUUCCACUAGCCAUAAGUUAGCCAUGUGGUCAUACACUGGGCAUAAGUCAGGUCACGUGACUAUAAUGCCAGCAGUAAGGAGUCUGGACAGGGGGAGGAUGAGACAGUGACUUUGCGCCACACUAUUUGAUGGUCCUGGACUGGAGCCUCCAGAUAAGUCAGCAACUACCUCUGUCCAAGAAAAUAUCAAAGGGAGUGAGUCUCAGCCCUUCAUGUCCAGUAUCUGGUACGCAGAAAGGGUGGCGGGGAUGCUUUUUGGAAUACACUUUGAACUGGAUGCAGCCCUCUGCAGUGCCUGCCUCUUACAGUACUUGCCAACAAAUGAGGCCCACGGUGUGUGUUUGCUGACCUGGAGAAAGGACGCAAUUGUAACCUGUAGCUUGGCAGCCAGGAACCAAGGAGAAGGGAGAGUCAGAGCCACCUUCCCAUCCCCACCGGCUCUCGGCUCUCACGUCAGAGGCAGCCGCUCAGCUCGCCUGUGUGGGAAGCAAGCAGGAGCUGUUUCCAUUUUCUUUCAUAUUCAUCACGAACUGUGGCCCACAGACAGGAGAAGCCACAGAAACAAUGUCCAUCCCCCCUCCAAUGAUCCUGGAAAACCGAGGCUAAGAGGGGGCUGGGAGCAGAGGGAGCACUUUUGACAUCUGUGGGCAGAGCUGGAGGAGUGGGGGGAGCAACUCUGACAUCUGUGAGCAGAGCUGGAGGAGUGGGGGGAGCACCUCUGACAUCUGUGGGCAGAGCUGGAGGGGUAGAGGGAGCACCUCUGACAUCUGUGAGCAGAGCUGGAGGAGCAAAGGGAGCAUCUAUGACAUCUGUGAGCAGAGCUGGAGGGGUAGAGGGAGCACCUCUGACAUCUGUGGGCAGAGCUGGAGGGGUGGAGGGAGCACCUCUGACAUCUGUGAGCAGAGCUGGAGGAGCAAAGGGAGCACCUAUGACAUCUGUGAGCAGAGCUGGAGGGGUGGAGGGAGCACCUCUGACAUCUGUGAGCAGAGCUAGAGGAGUGGGAGGAGCACCUCUGACAUCUGUGGGCAGAGCUGGAGGGGUGGAGGGAGCACCUAUGACAUCUGUGGGCAGAGUUGGAGGAGCAGAGGGAGCACCUACGACAUCUGUGAGCAGAGCUGGAGGGGUGGAGGGAGCACCUCUGACAUCUGUGGGCAGAGCUGGAGGAGUGAGCACCUCUGACAUCUGUGAGCAGACACAGCCUCCAUGAAAAGAGACUAGCAGUGAGGGAAGAGCAAAGGCCAAGACCUUGCUAUCCAUUCACUGUGUGACCUUGGGUCAGUGACACACUCUGCCUGCCACCAACUGCCCCCUCACCCCAUAUGUCAAAAGGAGAUAAUAAAAGCUGUUCUGAAGUUAGAAUGAGACAGUCAAUGUUUAAAUGGUUCUGAAAAGCAUAAAUCUCUAUGUGAGGAUAUAAGGUGUGACCUGGGUGGGUAAAGGUAAGGGCUCUUACCCUUCCUGCCUCUCCAUUGCAUUCAGAUGCUUGCUAACAAUUGCAACUCUCAACUGGGAUUCUGUCUUGAUGGGAAGUGCACACAGAAGCCUUCAUAUUCCAGAGAUGGCUCUAUAGCCUGAUCUCGACUGCCCUCCAAGUCCUGCUGGGAAGUGAUGGAGCCUUUAAGAUCCAGGACCUAGCGGGAGGUGGCCAGGUCAUUAAGGACAGGUGCCUGAUGAGUACUGUGGGACCCUGGUCUCCUCCUCUUUUUCUCUUUGUUUCCCAGCCAUUAAAGGGGUAGAUUUUCCUUCUCUGUACUCCCACCUUGAUGCCCUAACUCAGAGCAAUGUGGCCAACUGGCCAUGGGCUCCACAAGUGUGAAGCCAAAUAACCCCCUUCCUCUUGACACAGCAAUUAUCUCAGGGAUUUGCAGUCACACCAACAAGUGGGGACUGGGACACAGGCCUGGCAAGUGCCGAGUCACAUGGUCUGAGCUGGCACUGUGGGACUGUGAAAUAAUGAGCCGUGACCCACAGAGACUUCCACUGAGCUCAUCAAAAGUCAGCGCAACUCUUCAGACAUGGGUGUGGGAUAUGAUGGACUACAAGGAAUGUAGUCACAAUGUCACAGAGUUCUGCUGACAAGAUCCCUUCUCUAGAAAAGGUUCCUAGUUCCCAAGUAGAAGCAGGAAACAGACUCUAUUUCCCAUCAGCCUAGGGGAGGUAUACUAGGUUGUUAUAAAUCAUAAUGUAAAUAUUUGAUAUGCAACCCCUAUAAGAGGGUUGUUUGACUCUAAAAGCAUCAAGACCCACAGGUUGAGGACCACUAAAGCAAUCCUGUGUAACACUUUUUUUGCAAGUUAUAAAAGCAGCUGGGACCCGCUAUCUCCCUACCGGACCACAGCCUUUCCAUUCCAGUUUCCAUAGCUUCCCAUCCCAUCUAAACCCCUAGAUUUCACUUCAACAGGUUUCUGCAAGUGAAAUCCUAAUAGGGAUGUUUCAUAGUCCUCAAACCCUGUCAAGUUCAAGGACCAACUUCUAAGACCAAAGAUCCUUUCAUCUGCUCCAAUGACCCCUGGCAUGGAGUGAACAGGGACAGAGAGCCACGCACACACAGGCAUCUAACCUGGAGCAUCUGACGGCCGGCAUCAAAGCCCUGCUCAGCACCCAGGCUCAGAACCAUCUUCAAAAAGCCCUGGGGUCCCAGCAGCCACCGCAGUGGACAUACCUCAUUUCCCUGAGCGCCAAAGCAAGACAGAAGGCUGAAUCAGGUCAGCAGCUUUUGAUCUGAAAAUAGGAACCUUCUCGACACUCUGUGGAUUAUAGGAAUUAUGCCUGAGAAAGCUACCUACUCCAGCCACCAUCGUGCCAGGGUAUCCAGGGAUAUUUGGCUGAGGGAAAUAAUUACAUAGCCAAGUGCCAUCAAACCACAAAACUAAAGCAAGCCCACCCACCACACCAGAAGACAAAGUCUUGAGGUUUAUCUGAAAUGGAAAUGAAACAGUUAACCUCAAGAUUUUCCAUGGCUCCCUCCCACCUACCGGGGCUUUCGCCUAGGAACUAAAGAGGCUGGGGUGGUCCAAUGGGACUGCACCCAGCGUCUCUGAUGAGCACCUAAAGUCCUACCCAGUCAUUCCCGCCUUUUCUGAUAAACUAUCAUUUUCAGCUAAAAUUUUCCACUCCUGGACUCAGCCCAAAGGUAAAUUUAUUUUGGAAAGUCCCAGACAGAUUCUUCUGCAGCUAGCGUCUUAAGCAGGUAAAACAAAGGCUAUUGCUUCUCUGGACAUAAAAUUAUGUCCUGGGCGUACGGUAAUAGAUCAGGGCCCCAGUGUCACCUGGAGCCAAGCUCCACAGAUACAGGGCCUCGGAUAUA
rnacentral:lncRNA from 1 species